GGGCUUUUCCGCCGGAAAGAGAGUGGAUUUACUAGGAAGGUGGGACGUUGGAGGGGUGGCCGCAUGGAGUGAGUACUGUCUCUGGCCACCGAGCAGAGCCAGUGACAGCAGCGUCCUGGUAGGCAGGCAGGCGUAUCAGGUUUCAGAGGAUGCGGCUGGGAACGGGAGUAGAGGUGAGGGGUCGUUGCAUCUGUCGCGGUGUGUAUCUUUUGGGGGUUCAGCGCCACCAGCGACUUGGGCCUCAUUCAUCGCGCUUACAUUUCUCCACCUCAUUUGAAGAACGAGCUUCGUAGCCCACGGAGCUGAGGUAUAUGAGCUCCCUGAAAGCACAAAGCAGUUAUUUCCAUCUUCAGAUCAUUCAGAGAUUAUGAAGGCACAAACCCUGCCUUCAAUUUGCUUAUAGUCAAGUGGAGCAGACACAAGUCAAUGAUUGCAGUAUAGCCACUGAAGUAAUCUAAAAGAGGUGAGUGUGGCACUUAACCUCUCCUGGGAGGGGGAGGAAUAAGGCAGUGUUUCCAAGAGGUGAUUUUGGAGCUAUACAGGCAUUAGGUAGACAAGGAAGGGGAGGUCCAUUCUGGGUGCCUAGGACUCUGUGGCUGAUUUAUAAAUCGUAAAUGGUACAAAAAACAGUGUUGAGUAUCUUUUACCUUUCUCCAGAGUACUGUUCUUACUUUUGGAUAGUGCUUCUUGUUUUUUCCUUCCCUCUCCCUGUCCCUGUCACCUUUAAAUUAAAUGAAUGUUUGGAAGGAAGUAGGAGGGUAAGAAUCUU
rnacentral:lncRNA from 10 species